GUAUGGAGCAAGCGUUAUCCGGAUUUACUGGGUGUAAAGGGAGCGCAGGCGGCAUGGCAAGUCUGGUGUGAAAGGCCGGGGCUCAACCCCGGGACUGCAUUGGAAACUGCCAGGCUGGAGUGCCGGAGAGGUAAGCGGAAUUCCUAGUGUAGCGGUGAAAUGCGUAGAUAUUAGGAGGAACACCAGUGGUGAAGGCGGCUUACUGGACGGCAACUGACGCUGAGGCUCGAAAGCGUGGGGAGCAAA
rnacentral:rRNA from 1 species